GUACACGCUGUGACUAGCAUAUCAAUAAGCGGAGGAAAAGAAACUAACAAGGAUUCCCUUAGUAACGGCGAGUGAAGCGGGAAGAGCUCAAAUUUGAAAUCUUCAAGGUUUUACCUUGACGAAUUGUAGUUUAAAGAAGUGUUUUCUGCUGAAGUUUUGGUAAAAGUUCUUUGGAAUAGGACAUCAUAGAGGGUGAGAAUCCCGUAUUUGACCAUUAUUUUCAGCUUUGUGAUACACCUUUCAAAGAGUCGGAUUGUUUGGGAAUGCAGUCCAAAAUGGGUGGUAAAUUUCAUCUAAAGCUAAAUAUUGGCGAGAGACCGAUAGCGAACAAGUACCGUGAGGGAAAGAUGAAAAGAACUUUGAAAAGAGAGUUAAACAGUACGUGAAAUUGUCAAAAGGGAAGCGUUUGACACCAGUGUUGUUUUCUCGAAAAUCAAUUAAAAAUGGCUCGAUUUUGUAUUGCUGAGACCUUAAAAGCUCACUGUACAUUUUUCGUGUCUUUUUUAAUGCACUUUUCGUUUAACAAGUCAACAUCAGUUUCUUUUGUUGUAAAAGGGUCAUUGGAAGGUGGCUUUCUUUUCGGAGAAAGUGUUUAUAGCCUUGGGCCUCUGCAAUCGGAGAGACUGAGGUCUGCAGCGUAGACUCUCCGGGGUUAGAUACAUUUGUGCUAAGUUAUAGCUUUUUAUAGACAACUUGUUGACUAUAAUUAGUCUUGUAGCUUACUCGCUUAUGCUAUUUUACCUACGCUUAGGAUGUUGAGUAGCGACAUACGCAC
rnacentral:rRNA from 1 species